AGCUACGUUAUAUGAAAUGAAUUAUGCGUAUGCGUCUUAUCUUCAAAGGUGGCUCUAACAGUGGAUUUUGCUCUGCAUUUUAUAUUGCAUAAGCUGGCAGUGGUUUAACUCCUUUCUGAUUCCCAGGGACAUAUGUUUCAUUAAUGCCUGAUCCUGAGCGACCUGGUUCAGCAUAUAUUUUGCCAAACUGCUCCAUCCCUUCGAUAGAUGCAACCGUUUCCCUGUGUCCUGGAUCAUCCUUGAGAUUUGUCAUCACAAAGGUGAGCAGAAGCUGGGCUGAUGGCGGGAGCUCACCUCGACCCGAAUUUGAACUACCAACCUUCCAAUAGCUAUUAUGUGCAUCUUUGCAGUGAACAAUGCUGAAGAAAAGGAUACAAUUUGAUGGCCUCCCUGAUCAGAGUCCAGAAUUCAUUGCAAUUGGUGCUGGGUGCCAAGAUGCUGCUUACAACGGGGGACUGAGCCAGAGGUGAUUUAAAACCAACUCACCCCCCGCACAAACACUCUUUUGAUCUUCACUUGGUGACCCAUCCUCCCACCGUCAAUUAGUUUGAGAUUUCCUGGUCACUCCAGAGUCAGGAUCAUUGAACUUGGCUCCAUAUCCAAUGCGGAAAAGCAAGUUAAUAUGAUCAUUCAUGAAGAGAGGUGAGAUAAUAAUAAUAAUAAUAAUAAUAAUAAUAAUAAUAAUAAUAAUAAUAAUAAACAAAGAUUUCAAAAUCAUGUGUUUUGAGCAUGGGACUAUAACUCUGGAGACAAGGAUUUGAUUUCCCCCUCUGCCAUCGAAACCCACUGGGUGACCCUGAGUGAAUCACUUCCUUUCAGCCCCAGAACCUGUGAUAAGGUCACCUAAAUCCGAAAUGACUUGGAUGCACACAACAUUAGCAACUUGACAUGUGAUAUGUUAAAUGUAAGGGAAUCUGUCCAAAUAACCACACAAACAAUGCCAUCUGGAAGAUGACUAGAAAAAUGUGAUUCUUCUCCUCCUGCUCCAUUGUUUUAUUGCUACACUCACUGAGCUAUCUUUCCAGGAACAUUCAGCAGAACCGUUCCAUUUCUUCAGGUAUCCUCAAGAGAAAGAACGUUGCUUUGGGGUGCCAUUAGAUAAUAUAUCUCUUUUCCUAUCUCAUCAGCUCAAUAA